UACAGAGGGUGCAAGCGUUGUUCGGAAUUAUUGGGCGUAAAGGGCGCGUAGGCGGUGCGGUAAGUCUGCAGUGAAAUCUCUGGGCUCAACUCAGAGUCUGCUGUAGAAACUGCCGUGCUUGAGUGAUGGGAGAGGUGAGUGGAAUUCCCGGUCGUAGCGGUGAAAUGCGUAGAUAUCGGGAGGAACACCUGUGGCGAAAGCGGCUCACUGGACCACAACUGACGCUGAGGCGCGAAAGCUAGGGGAGCAAACAGG
rnacentral:rRNA from 1 species